UACGUAGGCAGCGAGCGUUGUUCGGAGUUACUGGGCGUAAAGCGUGCGUAGGCGGUGUCUUAAGUUUGGUGUGAAAUCUCCCGGCUCAACUGGGAGGGUGCGCCGAAUACUGAAUGACUAGAGUGCGGGAGAGGAUAGUGGAAUUCCUGGUGUAGCGGUGAAAUGCGUAGAUAUCAGGAGGAACACCGGUGGUGUAGACGGCUAUCUGGACCGUAACUGACGCUGAGGCACGAAAGCGUGGGUAGCAAACAGG
rnacentral:rRNA from 1 species